rnacentral:lncRNA from 1 species
UAAUUUGGACAGACAGACUUUAAAGGUAAAAUCCUUCUAAUUUUUUUGAGUUGUCUCUAAACUCUUUUUUUUGUCUCAUUUCGAACGAAUUGACUUUUAUUCUUUAUUCUGAUCCAAUUCUGUUGUUAAGAACAAUUUAAAAUUGUGUUUACUUGUUCGGGCAUGUUUUAUCUUUAAUUUGUUAAAUCCUUGGGUUUAGACAUUACUUCGGGAAUUCCUAUUCUUUGUUUCUUUCAAAAGAGUAGCAACAUACCCUUUCUUCUUAUUUCCUUCGAUAAAAGCAUUUCCCUCUUCUAUAGAAAUCGAAGAUGGGGGAUUUAUUCUGAUAGACUUUUAAUUAAAAGAAUUUUCCAGAUCUUCCAAAAUGGUAU